UACGGAGGGUGCGAACGUUAAUCGGAAUCACUGGGCGUAAAGCGCGCGUAGGCGGUUUGUUAAGUGGGAUGUGAAAUCCCCGGGCUUAACCUGGGAAUUGCAUUUCAAACUGGCCGACUAGAGUACGGUAGGGGGAGGUAGAAUUUCCUGUGUAGCGGUGAAAUGCGUAGAUAUAGGAAGGAAUACCAGUGGCGAAGGCGGCCUCCUGGAUCGAUACUGACGCUGAGGCGCGAAAGCGUGGGGAGCAAACAGG
rnacentral:rRNA from 1 species